rnacentral:rRNA from 1 species
UACAGAGGGUGCGAGCGUUGUCCGGAAUCACUGGGCGUAAAGGGCGCGUAGGCGGUCCCCUAAGUGUGUGGUGAAAGCUCGGGGCUCAACCCCGAGUCGGCCGUGCAAACUGGGGGACUCGAGCAUGUCAGAGGUAGGCGGAAUUGACGGUGUAGCGGUGAAAUGCUUAGAUAUCGUCAAGAACACCGAUAGUGUAGACAGCUUACUAGGCUACAACUGACGCUGAGGCACGAAAGUGUGGGGAUCAAACAGG